AUCCAGGGAUAUGACCCAAAGCUGGCCCAUUCACCCGCAAAGCCUGGGCUGGACCAUCCAGCUCUUUGUGUCUUCUGGACACAUCAGGCUCUCCUCCCUGGUCCUUGCCAAAGGCAGACCCUAGUGCUGGCAGAGUGAAAUUUGUGAUGGAGAACGGUGUUAAAUUUUAAAAGAAAGUCAUUAACUCCCAGGCCAACCAGCUGAAUGGGCAGUUUGCUGCAGACUCCAACAACACUGCAGGUUAAGACUGGAUCUCUGCUCCCUUGGGACAUUUCUAGAGUGGUUUGGAUUUGGGUUUCCCCCCUCCCCUUGCAGUGCUACCACCAAAGGC